ensembl:lncRNA
GGCGGAGAUGAGGUCCUGGUCCACACCUGCGGAUUACCUGGUUUGGGGGGCCCGUUGCUGUCCCUGCCCUUGUCCACCUGGUCAUACUUCCGACCUAGUCUAAAAUCAAAUAGACUCUGGAUUUAGCCCAGAGAAAUGUAUAAAUUAGUCCAAUUGGACUCUUAAUAUCUCACCCGGCACAGCCAGAAGAGGACUGGUCACCUCUCUGAGCCUGGGUCCUCUCUAGGUUUCUUCCUAAAAUUCGACCUUCUUAGGGAGUUUUUCCUAGCCACUGAAAUUCAACACUACUGUUAUUUGCUACUUGGGGUUUAAGGCCGGGUGUCUCUGUAAAGUUCUUUGUGACAACUCCUGUUGUAAAAAGGGCUUUAUUAAAAAAUAAUUAUUGAUUGGGCUCUCAUGCCACCCUCAUGGAGUCUGUUUCUGGAAGUUUGGUCAGAAACAUGCACACCCAGUAACCCACUGGAGGUCAUUUUGUAGGGCUCUGGCAGUGAUCCUCAUGUUCCUCCUCACACAAAGGGUCAGAUACAGGUCCUGUUGUUGGGUUGAUGCCCUUCUGCGGCCCUGUCCAGCUCUCCUUGUGUUACAGCCCAUCUCCUGGUAUCUCUAUGCUCUUGAGACUGUACUGGGAGACACAGCAAACCUUCUCACGACAGCACGCAUUGAUGUGCCAUCCAGGAGGAGCUGGACUCCCUGUGCAUCCUGAAUGGGCUUCAGGAUGGAGCAAACACAGUACUCCACGGCACCAGAGGCGCUCCACAGCACCAUGAGGAGGACUGCUAUAAUGACAAGAAGGCAGAGCUUCGCAAAGUUUUAGCUCUGCACAUGAAGAAGAUCAAGCGUCUGACUGUAGUGAUUGUCCAGCUGAGGGUACAGCUGGCUCUACAAUCAGGGUAUUCAGCGCCCCCUUGACAACCUGGAAGACCUGCAGCAGUUUUAUUCACAGUUGAGGUUGGCUGUUUGGAUGUUAAGGCUGUCAGGGAGCUGAAGUACACAGUGUGGUGGCUGCUACCGUGCAUCAUUACAAGGGCUCUCGCCGUCUUGAUCACCUGGACUGGAGCUGGGAACAAGACUUUAAGGACCUUUUCCUCAGGACUAUUCUUCAAAGUACCUGAAAGGGGCAGCAUUCCGCACAGGUGGGAGAAGACGUUGCAGCAGUAAAAGGGACCUGCCGUGAAUAUGAAUGACACAGUUCCAGCACAAAACCACAACACUUGUAUUCCAGCCCUUGCUUAUUUAGUAUUGUAUUAUGUUUAUUUUGUUCUUUGUCACAUUCAAAUACUAUGUUUUUUCUAUAUCUGUUGCUGGAAUUUAUUUUGCAUGCAUCUUGCACUGUUUGAUUUAUUUCAUUUGCAUAUGUUUAUUUUGUAUGCUUGCUGUAUAAAGCACAUGUUUUUUGUAUGAAUCUUGUACUUUCAAUUAAUUGUUUAGAUUUAAUUCAGUUCAUUGUCAUUUGUGAUGACUAAAAUAGGAUUAUUAUAAAUAAAACCAAAUAUUGGGACAUGAGGGUGGUUUCAGUGCAGUAAAAGUGUCUAGCAGCCGGUGAGACGCUGAUCAGGGUAUUGUUGGAAGGCAUUGUAAUGCAAGCGGCCCACCGGUGGCCUGACUGCGAUGCACACCAUAAAAAGCGUCCUGCAUCUGGCAUCCCGCUGGUCAGACGCUUUGCAGUAAAGAUUGGUGGCUGCAGCGUCAAAAAGCUAGCGGGCUGCUGGCGUGUUGCUUACUGGGUUAAAAAUAAUUCAGAUUAUUAGUAAAAAGGCUGGAGUCUGGCAAGUGAACGUACUUCAGCAAACAUACUUUCGACCUUGUUUUAUAUCAAACAUACAUGUAGAUGGUCUUAAUUUAAACCGGAAACGGGGUGUUUGGGCUAGCUGCCUGCCAACAGCUCAUAGCUAGCUUAAUAAAAUGCGGGGGAAACGGGGGUGUUUGGGCUAGCUGCCUGCCAACAGCUCAUAGCUAUAACUUUGUGCAAACUGCAUUGAUGUCAAGGCAGACAAUUGCGAAAACCUGUUCUUAGUCUCUCCCCCUCUCUCUCUCUAUGUAUACUGAAGCCCUGAUGCUAGGAACUUGCAGUCAGCGCAUUUUUAAUCCAGUUGAGGGAAUGGUUUCAGACGCAAUUUUAGCAACUCCUGUCAUCAAAUCAACAGCUACCAAAUGUUUGCUAAUGCAAUAGUCAAGCUACCAUGUAACUAUGUUACUAGUUAGAUGGUGGAUUGCCCAAUACAUACACGCUCAAAUCACUUCUUUAUUCUGAAAUUAGACUAAAACAUUACGAAAUCAGCCAAAUUAAGAGUUAAAAUAAUUUAAAGUAAGACUUACUCUGCUAAGAGCUCUUUUUCGGUGCAUGGAAUUUCUGCAAGUGCUAGCACUUGUUCCUCCAGUCCUGCCCGCGCCAGGUUCAGGUGAAAGCUUUGACUGUGGUGGACUUGAGUCCAUCGAGGGCACAGCAUCGGUAAUCAGACUCACAUGGUCCUUACUCCGAAAUCGCAUCCGAGACUCCAACAAAUCUCCAGGUCUAUAACUCUCGAGUGAAAUGAGCGCCACAAACGACCGAGUGUGUGGUGACAGACGAGGCAGUGAAGUCUGCUCUCUUCACCUGCACAAAACGCACCCAAAAACGAAUGCCCUUGAUUUCCUAGAAGGAAAAUGAUGUACACGAUUUCCAGACAGGUUGGAAUUUGUGCACCCAGCACAAACACAAUAAUUUACCAUUAUGACUUGACUUCUCUAAAACGUUCUCUUUAUCUCGCUCUCUGUAUUGUGAGAAGCGGAGCGGGAGCACAACCUAUUG